rnacentral:miRNA from 1 species
GUGGUCCCCAACCCAGUCCUCAUGGACCACCAACAGUCCAGGAUUUAUGUAUUUCCCUUUUUUAUUCAAAUGGAGAUACUGACAAAAUCUGGAUUGUUGGCGGUCCAUGAGGACUGGGUUGGGGACCA